ensembl:processed_transcript
UGUUGUGUUGCUGUCAGAUGCAUGAGAGUACAUAUUGGGAAGUAGAUGUUUGAGAUUGUCUAGCAUGUACUCUGUGAAGCUGAUGCACAUCUCCUGCUCCUCAAGCAUUGUGGGGCCUUAAGGAACAUGAAAGAUGAUUGGUCCAAAGACUAUAGACAGGUUGGUGGUGGUCAUGCAGUUGACUCCACUAUUAGCAACCACACGGGAAAGGAAGAAUGCUAAAUAGCAGAGGAUGUUAAAAUGGUCCUCUGGAAGGCUGUCCAGGAUUUUUUUCACCGCCUGGUGAGGUUUGCUCAGUUUAAAGAUCCUGAACACCUCCAGCAGCUCAAUCAUGAGUGGCCCUGAAAUGAAACCACCGGGAGGCACUCAGAGGAAAUGUUUUAAGACGGAGGCUGAGGAAUGAACACCCUCAAUCUUCAGCUCUGGAAAGCCACCCUUGAUCAAAACAUCUCCUCAGCUCAUACUGGCACAACAGUAUCCCAUCAACCCUAAACAGGCCGCUUGUAUCGAGGCCAUGCUUCUCCAGGAAGCCCAAUAAAUGUGUGAGGAAUAAAGGAAGCCCUGCCUCAUCUGACUGUUGUUCCUAAGAUAGGACAAAGGCACACCCAACACUUUACUCAGUGUUUCCUCACACACUGAUAAAACUCCCAUUAUGGGGUUUUGCCGAGUUGGCAAACAAAUCCGAGGGGUGUCCAAAGCCGUGAGUCAAAUCCAGAAAAGAGUCAAAAACAGAGAAUCAAUAGCCGCAAUCAAUAGUAAAAUCGCAAACCGCA